rnacentral:lncRNA from 1 species
UCAUGUUUUAUAACUCAAACAUAUCAAAGUUUAUAUAAAUUGGUUCCACAAUAAAUAAUAUGAAAAAAUACAUAUUUGCUUGGUUAUUCAUAUUGCUGCCAUCAAUCCUCGUACAUCCAUAAGUGAAUUAGUGAAGUAGGUUCACCAUUCACAUCACUAUUUACUAAGCUGAAAUGACAAAAUAAAAACAUUUGAUGAGGAACUUGUACAUGAUUCGACAAACAAACAUAUACUGAUGUGCAUACAUUAUUCACACUUGAAUAGGCAUAACUUUAAGUAAUUAGCAAAGAGAGAAGUUCAAGGUAAUUGUUGUUAAAACAAAAUAUACUUAAUAUAUAUAUAUAUAUAUAUAUAUACCCAAAAGAGAAGUGCAGUUUCAUACCUUAUGGCACAACUACGAAUUAUUCUCUUCUUUAAUUUAUAUGGGAUCACAUGAAAGAGAAGAUGAUACUUGUAACAUGAGCCAUACGUGAUAACACCUAAUAUGAAAAAAAUUCCUAAAUAGAUAAAGCUAACAGCAUCUUGCCUGGGCGUUUUUUGCUAGCCAAAGAUAGGCUUC